AUACAGAGGGUGCAAGCGUUAAUCGGAAUUACUGGGCGUAAAGCGCGCGUAGGUGGUUUGUUAAGUUGGAUGUGGAAGCCCCGGGCUCAACCUGGGAGCUGCAUCCAAAACUGGCAAGCUAGAGUACGGUAGAGGGUGGUGGAAUUUCCUGUGUAGCGGUGAAAUGCGUAGAUAUAGGAAGGAACACCAGUGGCGAAGGCGACCACCUGGACUGAUACUGACACUGAGGUGCGAAAGCGUGGGGAGC
rnacentral:rRNA from 1 species